CCGCUGUGAGGCCACAGAAGGCAAGACUCAGGGAUGGACUCCACCAUGGCCUGGUCCCCUCUCCUGCUCACCCUCCUGGCUCACUGCACAGGCUCCUGGGUCCAGGCUGUGCUGACUCAGCCACCCUCAGUGUCUGGGAACCCAGGACAGACUGUCACCAUCUCCUGCACUGGAAGCAGCACCAACAUCGGGCGUGGUUCCCAUGUCGGCUGGCACCAACAGGUCCCAGGAAAACCCCCUAAAACCAUCAUCCUUAGUACUAGCAGUAGACCCUUGGGGAUCCCUGACCGCUUCUCUGGAUCCAAGUCUGGCAGCAUGGGCACCCUGACCAUCACUGGGCUCCAGGCUGAGGACGAGGCCGACUAUUACUGCCAGUCCUAUGACAGCAGUACCGGAGGUCCCACUAUGCUGCGGGGCUCUCCCAGGGAGAGGCCUGUGUCCUGGCUGAACCAGCCCCUCAGCACCUCGGGCUGUGGCCGGCAUUUGGUGCUGGAGCAUGACCGAAUGUGA